rnacentral:lncRNA from 1 species
AGGGAGGAGGAUGACGAGGAGGCGUUGAAGUGGGCCGCGAUCGAGAAGCUUCCUACCUACGAUCGCAUGCGGAAAGGGAUACUCACGGCCGGGGGGGAAGGCGGGGUGGUGCAAGAAGUAGACAUUCUGGGACUCGGCCUUCAGGAGAGGAAGAACCUGCUCGAGAGGUUGAUGAGAACUGCAGAGGAAGAUAACGAGAGAUUCCUUCUGAAGCUAAGGAACCGAAUGGAACGGUACGUAAACCUUGUUUUCUUCCUAAUUAUUAUAUAUCUACUCGUAUAUCACCUCUAUAGGCUUGUUCGUGUACAAUGAAGUGUUGUCUUACAGCAUAUGUAUAUUUUCCGAACGAGUUAAUAACAACUUUUUCAUUAAAAAGCUUCCUAACAAUUGUCUACUACGACAAAAAAUCCAAGGUUUUAAAUUGGAGUUUCUACUUUUGCAACGGCAAAAAAAUUCUAGCUUUUUUAUGUGCCAACUACUUAUUCUCGAAUUUCUUGAAAUGGAGAAGCUGUUUCGACAACUAGGCCACAAAGGAGCCAUUUAUAUUUCUUAUUAAUUAUUUGCGCGACUUACGGAUGUUUGCUGCAGCGUUGGGAUUGAUAAUCCGACAAUUGAAGUCCGGUUCGAGCACCUGAAUAUUGAUGCUGAAGCUUACGUCGGAAACCGCGGCGUUCCAACAUUUACCAAUUUCUUCUACAACAAAAUAAUGGUAAAUCAGCAGUUAAAACAUCAAACCCCUUAACGAGAUAUUCUCAAGCUUCUUGUUUGCUGAGUGAAGUGUAUUGCGUGCUGCUCAGGAUGUAUUAAGUAACCUUCAUAUAUUUCCGACUGGAAAAAGACCAAUCUCAAUCCUUCAUGACAUAAGUGGAAUCAUCAGACCUUGCAGGUAGGAAAUACUUUUUGAGUUUUAGCUGAUUCUAUCAUAUGAAUAUCAAAUCGGUUUCCACGAUCUUGACGGAACUAUGACUGAAAACUUAUUGUUCUCAGAAUGACUCUACUUCUCGGCCCGCCAGGCUCGGGGAAAACCACCUUACUUUUAGCUUUGGCAGGAGAGCUUGAUUCAACUCUAAAGGUAAUUUUAACAAAUAAAGCACCGCUGAACCAAUGUCGUCGUUCUUUCCAUAUUUCCAUUAUUUGCUCAAUUGAGGUUAAUUGCAUUGUUAAAAUUCAACCUAAUAACUUUUAUUCAACAAAAAUAACAGGUUUCAGGCAGAGUGACUUACAACGGUUAUGACAUGGAUGAGUUCGUCCCUCAAAGGACGUCAGCUUACAUUGGCCAGCACGAUCUCCACAUCGGGGAAAUGACGGUCAGGGAGACGUUGGCAUUCUCUGCAAGAUGUCAAGGAGUCGGAACUCGUUAUGGUAGGUUUUUACAGGAUAAGUUCAGAAAAAACAGAUUUUACUUACUGUUCUCAUGCAAUAUAUUCGCAAUUAUGCACAGAUAUGCUUGCUGAGUUAUCAAGAAGAGAAAAGGAAGCAAACAUUAAACCAGAUCCCGACAUCGAUAUGUACAUGAAGGUAAAAGGAUGCUAAAAAAUUUCACGCCUCCAUUCUUGCGUUAGAAGUUCUGUUGGAUUGAACCAUGAAGAAAACUUUGAAAUUUUCAAGUUCAAAUCCUUCAGGUUUAUGCAGUAAUUGCAAGGAUACAGUAAUUAUGGACUUACUAAUACUUGUGUUUGUUCUCGGCUGGUGCAUCCACAGGCUAUAUCUGUAAAAGGCCAGGAGAGUGUGGUUACUGAUUACAUUCUGAAAGUAAGUUCUGGAAAAAUAUUAUUUAUCCAAAUAGAAAAUAACUAAACAACAACCAAAUAUUCAUCUGAUUUUUUAUUUUUUUUUUUUUUUGCAGAUUUUGGGACUGGAAAUCUGUGCAGAUACUAUGGUAGGAGAUGCGAUGAUAAGAGGCAUCUCUGGAGGACAAAAGAAGCGUGUUACAACAGGUAUAAAUAAGGCAAGAAAAAUGAAAAGGAUAACUAAAUAAGUUGGAAUCAAUCAGUUUUUUAAUUUAAUGAAAACAACAUCACAAUAAAAACAAAUGGUUUACGCAGGUGAAAUGCUUGUGGGACCAGCUAAAGCACUUUUUAUGGAUGAGAUCUCCACUGGUCUUGACAGCUCCACGACUUACCAGAUUGUUAACUCCAUAAGGCAAUCAGUUCACAUUCUCGGAGGGACUGCGUUGAUUGCUUUACUUCAGCCUGCUCCAGAGACUUAUGACCUCUUCGACGACAUCCUCCUGCUUUCCGAGGGCCAAAUUGUGUAUCAAGGUCCUCGAGAGAACGUCCUUGAAUUCUUCGAAGAAAUGGGCUUCAAAUGUCCCGAAAGGAAGGGCAUCGCAGAUUUCUUGCAAGAAGUGAGAACAUUAGCUGCAUUUGUAACUAAGAGAUAUUUUAAGACAAACAUAUAUCCCUGCAAAAUUAUCUAUUAAUACACACACGCACACACACACAGACAGCCUACAAAAAGUAAAUUCAUAUAUAUCCCCUUUGAAAACAUAAUGCCUAUGUAUACACCUUUGUACUCGGACAAAUGUAUCCCUCUAAAGAACCUUUUCCAAUAGGAUUAGAAAUUUCCCCAUGAUUUUGAUUACUCUUUGACCUAGAAAAGGUAUUUUUGUAAGAAACUGCACUCCCAUGAGGUGCACAUUAACUUCAAAUUUUUCGAGGUGUGCAUAUAGAUAAAUGAUUUUGUCGGGAUGUAUAUGUAAGAGCUCCGAUACUUAAAAACCCAGUAGAAUCAAACUUUAAUAAAUAUUCUCUUAUUAGUUUAAAAAAAAUAUAUUGUUUCUUCACACAGACUGUUAUUGUCCUUCGAGAAUGACUUCUCUUACAUCGAAAUGCAGGUCACGUCAAGGAAGGAUCAACAUCAGUACUGGGCAAGCAAAGACGAACCAUACAGGUAUGUUUCAGUCAAUGAGUUUGCAGAAGCGUUUCAAUCGUUUCACGUUGGCCGCAAGCUGGGGGAAGAGCUCAGCACCCCCUUCGACAGAAGGAGAAACCACCCUGCUGCAUUAACAACAUCCAAAUACGGCAUUAGCAAGAUGGAGCUAUUGAAAGCUUGCACCUCAAGAGAAUGGCUGCUAAUGAAGAGGAACUCAUUUGUGUAUAUCUUCAAAGUAGUCCAGGUGAGUAGGCCGAAAAGCAAUAGGGAUAACUAUGCUUUUUUUCAUGUUUAAAGGGCUAAUUUGUCCUUAAAAUUCUCAUAUUACCUUGAGAGCUUCUAACAUUUUCCAUUCAUGUUCGUGCCAGCUUAUAAUCCUCGGAACGAUUGCAAUGACCGUCUUUCUGCGAACCAAAAUGCACCGCCGAUCAGUGGAGGAUGGAGUCAUCUACCUGGGUGCCAUGUUUCUUGGUUUAGUUACCCAUCUAUUCAAUGGAUUCGUUGAACUUGCAAUGAGUAUUGCAAAACUGCCCAUAUUCUACAAGCAAAGAGACCUCUUGUUCUAUCCAUCAUGGGCUUAUGCACUACCCACAUGGAUUCUGAA